UUCUGAAAGCAGAAUAUGUUGAACAGUAAACCAUGUGAAUAUGGAAAGAGAAUUUAUUGGUUAUGUGUCUGGUUGCCCCUGAAGCAUCAACAGAGGCAACUAACAUUCAGUGGCCCAUAUCAUAAGAGGUCCCAAGAGAAGAGGACCCCGCAGUCCAACAUGCUAGAUAGGAUUCAUCAUUAUAACCCAAUCAGCAAGAGUCUAGGGAAGCAAUGAUUUAAAGUCCCACUCCAAAAGAUGAGGUUCUCCUGUUUGUUGAGGUUCUGUUUAGGGGAAACUCAAACACAUGUAGUUGGUUCCAUCUUGAGGCUAAAAGACCAAGUAAUAACUUUCCUAGAUCUGAAGGAUUAUCCUAUUUGUCCCAGUAGCCUAUAUUUGUAUUUGAAAGGAAUCACUUUCUCUGGGAAUUUAGAGCUUUGGUUGGAAUAUUUGUCUUGGGAGAUCCUGGAGCAUGAGGCCUAAAAUAUCAAGGAGAUAGAAAGUUAUUUGUGUCAAUGCUACGAGUGAAGUAACCUAUCACUCCUGAGGACUGGGAGAGUCUAUGGGUGGAAAUCAGGCAGUCUGAGAGUCUCUGGAUUGCUUUUGCAGUUCUUCUCAGUGUCACAUAGUUGGGCACUGAAUUACUCUGUAUCUACUUUUCUAUGUCUGAAUUUUUUUGAAUCUUUAAUUAGACCAAUGGAGUCAUUUCCUAGAGCUACCAUUACAAAGUACCACAAACCAGGUGCCUUAACCACAGAUGUUUAACGUCUUACAGUUCAGUUCUGGAAGCUGGAGGUUCAAAAUCAAAGUGUCAGAUCACGCAUGAUUCAUCUUUCAUCAGAGACAAACUAUUCAGGGAUUGGAAUCUUUACCUUAUUGGGUCAAUUAUGAGACACCCCCAAAUGUGAGACCACAUUUUCAUAUGAUGCUUUUGAGGAAGAAUUCUGCCUUGCCUCUUUUAGCUUCUGGUGCUUGCUGGCAAUGCCUGGUGUUCCUCAGCUUGCAGAUGCAUCACUUCUAACUCUCCCUCUGUAUUCUGUGUGUCACUAUGACAAAUACCUGAGAUAAUCAACUCGUAAAGAGGAAGAGUUUAUUUUGGUUCACAGUUUUAGAAGUUUCAGCCAUGCUCAAUUGGCCCUAUUGCUUUGAGUCUGUGGCUGCACAUCAUGAUGGGAGCAUGUGGCAGAAAAAAAAACAGCUGACCUCAUUUAUAAUUGAGCAGAAAAAGAGAGAGGAGGAGGAGCUGGGUGCCCUCUGAGUGCACAUCCCCAACUAGAAGUUUUACUGACUCUCAACAAAUGCCACUCUGGGGAACAAGUCUUUGAUGUAUGAGCCUUUGGAGGAACAUUUAAGAUCUGACAUUGUAUUGACACUCCACAAAGAUUAUAUUCAUUAUGUAACACAAACAAAUACUAAUAAAAAUUAAUUAUUUAACUAAUUUAAAAAGAAACAUUCUUAAAAAAAGAAAAAUUAAGGGCUGCAAUUUAAAAAGAAAUCAUUUUUAUGUUAAGGCUGAGAAAUGUCUUUAAUUGUAGUGGAUAAUAUUUUGAUAUUAGUUGAUAUACAUACAGCCUUAUAAUUUUUUAAUUAAUCCUAUGGCCCUUCCUCCAUUCUUGAGAUUUGGAUUGUCCUAGAGAAGGUUGUAAUAGAAAAAUCAGAGAACAAAAGAAUGAAAUUUUAUCAUUUGAAUUUCGAAAGCUUAGGUUCAGGAAGAAGGCAAAACGCCUUACAAUAAUAUUUGAUUAAUCCAAGAUAGUUUUCCUUCCUUUUCACUUGAGAUUUAGAUAAUAAGUCUCUAGAAGAAGAGGAAGGAGGAGGAAGAAGAGAUCAUCUGAGAGGAAUUAGGAUAUGAUAGGGUCCCCUGGCUCACCCCAGGGCCAAUUCCCGGAGAGUGUGAAGAAAGUAAGACCUUCCCUCAGAUACUUACAGGUGUUUAGGAUAAGAGGAAAGCUGUACCUUGCUUCCAGGAAGGUCCUAGAUAUUGUAGAAUCUUCCUGUCUGAGGGGAUAGAAGGACAGCUGCUUUCUGAGUCUCUGAGAGGGCACAGAAGGGCCUAGAGGUCUGAGGACCACAAGGUGCUGAGAAUGGCUCUGACUGCAGACCAGCUGAAUGAUGUUCCUCCAGUAUAUGCAGGUACAGACAGAUGAGAACUAAAGGCCAGAGUCCCCUUUCCCUCCUACUAGCCUGUACUUCAAGCUCAAGUCCACCCGAAGUAUAGCCUCUGAAUUGACACACGAGGGUUUUAUUUUUACCUGCAACAAGGCUCAUAACAUAAAUUAUGUUUGGUUACUAGAAAAUAAAGUUGAUUUCUUUCAACUCUUAAUUUGUGGUAUAAGGUUUAUUUCAGCUACAUAAAGAAAAUGAAUAUUUUAUGCUUGCAAGUUGCAUCUUCAUUUGUAGGUGGGCAGUGGGAAGGGAAACUGUCCUUGGGGCAGCCAGGUGUGACCCCGGCAUUUUCCCAGACUACAGAAAUUAAUGCUGAGAUAUUGCUGAUUGGGCCUCCAGGAAGGAGGGAAGGGGAAGAGAAAGGGAUGGGUGGGCAUGGGGGAGUCCAUGACUAAACCACUUAAAUUAUGUUCUAAAUAUCUGAUUUAUUGUUCUGAAAGGUACUCCAGCCUUUUAGAGGGGAAGUCUGAGAAGCUCUGAAACUUGAGGUGCCUACAAAGACAACUCAGCUGUUGUUGCCAAGGAACUAACAUGUCUGAGUUCUGGUAUCAGUAUCACUGGCUCCUGCUCAAAUAGCACAAACGAAAGAUGUAAAGUCAUUAGAGAAAAAGAACAGUUUGGUUUGGUGGGUCAUGAGUUACAAUUUGAUAUUGGCCUUACAUUUAAGGGUCUCAUAAGUGGUCCAAUCCCCAAAAAGUCUUUCUCUUUGAUGGAAGAGAAGGAGAGAAAAGUAGGAAGGCAGAGAGGAAAAGGGAACAGAAGCCAACAGGCAUAAAUGACCUAACUGAAAGACAUUUUGGAGGGAGAAGUCACUCAGAAUAAGUCUUUGGAAUUAGACUGAGGUUUGAGCAUUAGUUUUUCCACUAAGUAAAUGACCCUGGAGAAAUACAUUUGAACAGCUCUAUGCUUUCAGUUUCAAAUCUGUAAAAUGGAUGUGUUAUGUAAAGACUUCCUGAAUUUUGCUCUUUUGACUCUUAGUGGGUUUUUUUUCUAAAUAACUCAGAAUUUGUAUUUUACUUCAAUAAUCCAAUGUGAUAGGCAACCCUCUAAACAGUUCGCAUGACCCUCGUUUUCUGGCAUUCACACUCUUGAUUAGUCACUUCAUCUUGAGUGUACUUUGGACCUUAUUUCUAAUAAAUAGACUAUGCCAGAAAUAAUGGGCUGACAUCUCUUAUACUGGGUUAUAAAAUGACUAUGGCUUCUGUGUUUGGUUCAUUCUUUCUUCCCAGAUCACUUGCACUGAGGUAAGCAUUCUGCCAUAUUCUGAGCAACUUUAAGGGAAUACCUACGUUGUGUGGUGAGGAACCGAGGGCCUCAGACCAACAAUGCAGAGAAACUGAAGCCUGCUAACAACCAGGUGCUGCUGAUCUAGAAGUCUUAAUUCCAAAAAGAAAAAUGCUUCCUCCAGGCACAUAACAAUGGGUCCACUGAAUUAAAGGCUGAGACUGUCACCUGACCAUUUUGGGCUCCUAAUGCUAUUGAGUCAACAGUUAGAUUGGACCACAAGAAUGAGUCUCAUGGAUGAUUUGGAUGGUGUAAAUGAAGCAACAGCCAUUGGGUAGCUCACAUACUUGGUUUGCUGCCUCUUCUUGCUGAUGUGAACUGUGGCUAGGACUAGAACUACUCUACCUUCUCCUCAAUCUUCCUGAGCCUCUGUGACUUCUACACCAGGAAACGAGAGUGGAGAGAGAGAGAGAGAGAACUGACACAGGUUUUAGGCUGUCCUCAUUGACUCACUGCCUCCAGUUUGUGCCUGGGAGUUCUAGUUUGUUCUUGCUCUUCCUGUUUUACAUCCUGACCACUUGCCUCAAGAACUUCAAGGUCCAGCAUUAGAUGCAAUCACAAUAGCUUUAUGGAGACUGUUCAGUAAACAACCACAACUGCAUAAGAUUCUCCAAAUAUAGUGUUAGUCAACAUUCCUGUAUGGACUUUAGAAGGUGCCAACUUUGAAUCAGACGGUCUGUAUUCAAAUCCUGGCUCCAUCAGUUCCCAGCAUAUGACACUUAGAGGCAGACAGACGACUGGGUCCUGAGCCUGAAGCAUUCUUCAAUGUGACCUUGACUCUUGCAUUUUAUACUGCUAAAUUCAACCAAGCAAUCUUCCGGGUUCUGUACGGUGGUGGAAGCAGCAGCCCAUUGAGCCAGAGACCAACACUUCUGGGCAUAUGGAACCCAAGAGCGGAAAGCUUGCUGCGUUUCUCGGAAACUUCAGCUAAGGAAGGGCAGCCUCUGGAAAGUGAAGAAAUGGCACACUCACGGGAUGAGGCGGGAAAUGCCAUAGAGCCGGGGAGUCCAGCACCUGCCUAGGCCACACUGUGUACCGGAAGCAGUUUGCGUCCCCGAAUAAACUUAGAUACAAGUCCAGUAAAAACCAGAGGUUAGCUGACUUCUGAAGUACAUGUACCCAAGUUUCCCUAGUCCUAGAGCUAUGCCCUUAGCCUCUUGGGCCUUCUCACGUCUCUCAUCUCAGUUUCUUUCUUUCUCUCUUUCUCUCUUCGUACCAGGGAUCGAAAACCGGUCCUUGCGCUUGGGUAGCAGGUGGCGAAACCACUGAGCUAAAUCCCUGGGCCUCUCGCCUCACUUUCUGUUCCUGUCUUUCUCCAAGAGAAGUCCUUCUGGUGGUUUUGUCUCAGUCCUUCCGGUUCUGCUGAGUCGGCAGGCACGCGUCCCGCUGAGGGUUUCUCUGCACAUGCGCCCUAGUACAGCUACCCCUUGAGGAAGGCCUUAGGUAUUUUCCUCAAGGGCUGCCACGGUUGGUAGUGUUUACUCCACUGAUCACAUUCACUCUGUGGGUGUUUAUUUACUGUUUACCUAGUCAUGGUAAAUCAAUCAAUCACAUAUUUCUCCAUUUUUAUUUCUCAAAAGAUGACCCCGUUCCAUUUCCUCAUCAUCACCCAACAAGGGAGGUACUAUUGUCUUUGUUUAAUGGAUGAAGACACUAAACCUGCAAGGGUAAGAGUCUUGCCACAAGUGGGUCACAAAUCUAAGAAGUGGAUCACAUAUCUAAGAAGUGGAUCACAUAUAGAUUGUAAAGGCAGAGACACAGAGGGAGAGCACUAUGUGAUGUUGAAAGCAGAGAUUGGAGUUAUGCAGUUUUGAGACAAAGUGAAAGGGGAGUAAAAAGCAACCAGAGAAAAGAAGCAGAUGGGGAAACCGCUUGUGAGAAUGCCUUGUUCUGCAAAACCUUAUCACAGGGGCAGCAAGGGGAGCUGCCUUCUAUGUGACCUUACCUGAGUAGUUCCCAAAUCCUUGUUCUUGGACAUGGGAGGGCUGGAUGCCCAAAAAUCUCCUGAGGAACAUGAAUUACAAAACCCAAGAAAAACAGAACCCCUGGCUUCACUCUGAUUUGGAGGGAUAAAGUGGGGUGUAGCAGGGUUAGCAAGUCUUAGUCCAAUGGACCAGUGUCUUAGUCUAUUUUGGGCUG